rfam:Canis lupus familiaris chromosome 10, whole genome shotgun sequence.
ACCUGGCUGGCUCAGUUGGCAGAACAUGAGACUCUCGAUCUCAGGGUUGUGAGUUCGAGCCCCAUGUUGGGUG